rnacentral:rRNA from 1 species
GAUGAACGCUGGCGGCGGGCCUAACACAUGCCAGUCGAGCGGACGAAGGAGGCUCUUUCCUUGCUGCAGCUACGGACGGGUGAGUAAGGCAUACGAGGAUGCCUUGCCGUGGGGGAUAACGUAACUAAACGAAAGCUAAUCUCGCAUACGACCUGAGGGUGAAAGGGAGGGAUCAUCGGUGCUCACGGUAUCAGAUGUCCCUAGGCCGGGUUACCUAGUUGGUAUGGUAAAGGCCUACCUAGGCCACGUACCGUGACUAGUCUGAGAGGUUGAUCAGUCACACUGGAACUGAGACACGGUCCAGACUCCUACGGGAGGCAGCAGUGGGGAAUUUUGGGCAAUGGGCGAAAGCCUGAUCAAGCCAUGCCGCGUGAGUGAGGAAGGUCUUCGGAUAGGAAAACGCUGUAACUUGGGAGGAAGUGAAGUCACUCCAAGUCUGGCUGUAGUGACGGUACCUACACAAUAAGCACCGGCUAACUUCGUG